AUAUUGGUUCCCAAAAUUGGUUUGAUGAUGAAAAUAAUCCACACACGGAGUUUGUCAAUCCAAAGUCCCCCAUAGAAUUGGAUGAUGUUAUUUUAGUAUCCCCAGAUAUUUUUUUCCUACAACAAAGGCAUGGAAAAAAUACCAUGCUAAAAUAUAUGGUCUAAAGCCUCCCAAACUUUGUCGGGAUGUAGAAUAUGGGAAACAACUUGGUGAACCCACCAUCCUGGUGAAAAUUUGAAGGUGAUGGGAAUUGUUUUUAUAGGGUGAUUAGUGUAGAGAAUUGGAGUUCAAAAUUCCUAUAUUAUUCUCAGGCAAUGGUUAGCACAAUUUAUGCUGAGAUGGAAAUGGUAAUUGAGAAAUAUAUUAACGACACAAACAAAAAAACUAGAUGUAAAAAUUUAUAUCUUAAAUAAUGUUAUGUUAUGAUAGAGUGGACAUGGGCUUCUGACACAAGUCAGGGCCAUGGCUACAUUGUUAAAUACACCAAUUUUUAGAUAUA